UUUGUGGAGAGUUUGAUCCUGGCUCAGGACGAACGCUGGCGGCGUGCUUAACACAUGCAAGUCGAACGGAAAGGCCCCAGCUUGCUGGGGUACUCGAGUGGCGAACGGGUGAGUAACACGUGGGUGAUCUGCCUUGCACUCUGGGAUAAGCUUGGGAAACUGGGUCUAAUACCGGAUAUGAACUGCCUUUAGUGUGGUGGUUGGAAAGUUUUU
rnacentral:rRNA from 1 species